UACGUGGGGGGCAAGCGUUGUUCGGAAUUACUGGGCGUAAAGGGCUCGUAGGCGGCCAAGUAAGUCAGACGUGAAAUCCCUCGGCUUAACCGGGGAACUGCGUCUGAUACUGGAUGGCUUGAGGUUGGGAGAGGGAUGCGGAAUUCCAGGUGUAGCGGUGAAAUGCGUAGAUAUCGGGAGGAACACCUGUGGCGAAAGCGGCUCACUGGACCGCAACUGACGCUGAGGCGCGAAGGCUAGGGGAGCAAACAGG
rnacentral:rRNA from 1 species